UCAGGAUGAACGCUAGCUACAGGCUUAACACAUGCAAGUCGAGGGGCAGCGGGAAGUUAGCUUGCUAACUUUGCCGGCGACCGGCGCACGGGUGAGUAACGCGUAUCCAACCUUCCCCUUAGUAGGGCAUAGCCCGAUGAAAAUCGGAUUAAUACCCUAUGUUGUCUUAUGAGGACAUCUGAGCAGGACCAAAGGUUUACCGCUAAGGGAUGGGGAUGCGUCCGAUUAGGUAGUCGGCGGGGUAACGGCCCACCGAGCCAUCGAUCGGUAGGGGUUCUGAGAGGAAGGUCCCCCACAUUGGAACUGAGACACGGUCCAAACUCCUACGGGAGGCAGCAGUGAGGAAUAUUGGUCAAUGGGCGAGAGCCUGAACCAGCCAAGUAGCGUGCCAGGAUGACGGCCCUAUGGGUUGUAAACUGCUUUUAUGCGGGGAUAAAGUUCGCCACGUGUGGCGUUUUGUAGGUACCGCAUGAAUAAGGACCGGCUAAUUCCGUGCCAGCCGCUGC
rnacentral:rRNA from 1 species